GGGGGGUCUGAUAUCUAUGUUGGGGGCAAUAAAGACAACGGCUUGCUCUCCCAACCUCCCUACUCCCUGACAUCACCACAGCCCAUAGAAUAGAUAUGUAUAUAUAUUUAUAUACAGAAAAAGAAUACAUACUGGUGGCUGGACACCCUAGACAUUAAAGUACAUUCAAAGAACGGAACCAACAUUCUUGUCUGAAACACACGUUUACAGUGACCUCCCUCCCCUGGAUUGGAAAUCCUCGGUAGUUUUUCCAGUUUUUACCCCCGAAAUUAAGAACCAAAAAAACAAAACGUUUUUUUUUCUUAACUAUUUCAAAGUUUUAGUGCUGCGAAAAAAUCACACAAAUAAAUACUUUCCAGAAUACACUGACAAAACAACAAUGUUAUUAACUGACGUAUUUUUUAGCCCUCGUCUCAUAUUACCAGUAUGUGGGCACGACUGUUCUUCUAAAAUAUGAAAUCUAGCGGCAAAGUCUAUAGGCCUCAGGCUAGUUGUUUUGGUUAUGCACCUGCUGAUGUACGUAUUACAAUGGGAUUAUUCGAUUAUACUUUACUAUUUAACAUGGACGACGUAGUUCCUCGUGCGGCAUUCUGGGUAGUUUUUAUGCACCAUGGGAGGUUAUUUGUGUCUGUGUUUUUUCUCUUUUUUCAUUUCUUUCUUUCUUUUCAUUCUCUCUGUCCGUCCGUUAGUCUGUCCGGGGGGCUGCAGAGCCCCCCCGUGCCCCCCUCCCCUCCUCGGUUCUGCAGGUGGAGGUGGGGUGGAGAGGAGGAGGAGAUGGAGGAGGAGGAGGAGGGGGCGAGCUGUCAGGAGGAAGUGACAUCAUUACAGUAUCCACAGGAAGUGGUUAAUAGCAUCUGCCUGCAGGAAACCAGGGUUGGCGCGGCGCCGCGUGGUGGAAGGAAGGGCCCCAGGAAGGGCCCCCAGGUAGGGCCCCCAGGAAGGGGGGUAGAAAAGGUUGGAAGAAAGAGAGCGUGGGGCCAAUCAGAGCGACCGAACAGGACCACGCGAUAGGACGAUUACCUGUCAAUCACCUCCCCAUCCCGCCCAGGCCGCCUCCCACUGCUG
ensembl:lncRNA